rnacentral:lncRNA from 1 species
CUUGUUACUCUUGUUCUACCGUACCCUGUAGAUUUGUGAUCUAGGUUAUGUUGGUAUGUACGAUAGUUGUGCUGUUUUCAGGAUUUAGGUCGGGUAGUUUCUGCUUUCAGUACGGAAAUUAUUCUUUUAGGUAGUUCGCAUCUGGAUCUGGGAUAUGCGGUGUUUGGCCUAUGCCUUGAAAUUUUGUUUACUGUUACUGCAAAAUUAUUCACCGUAAUUCAAUUGUUAGAUGGAUUUGAAAUCAAAAUCGAGCGAGGAAGUCGUCCCUAGUUGCUGUUGUAUAAAUUGUGCAGUAUGAAAAUUUAUUUACCCCAUUUUAUUUUACACGAUUCUCUUAGUUAAAAUUCCCCAUUGAAUAUUAAAUUGUGUAAUUAUGAAAUUUUGAUUUACCCAUUUAUGUCUGCGGUUGAUUUUAGUUGACGCGAUUCUCUUGGUUAAUUUCCCAUAUGAUUCUGGAUCUGGUUAAUUCUGUUUGUUGCCACUAGGAGUCCCAAAUAAUGUCCGUCAUUGUUUCUUCAUUCUUGACCGUGAAAGUUUGCUAGAAUCCUUUGUCUAACUCCUAUUUCUCUUUUGCAGUAAGUGAAUGUACUAAUGGAAUCAAAGGGUGGCAAAAAGUCUAGCAGUAGUAGUUCCCUGAUGUACGAAGCUCCCCUCGGUUACAGCAUUGAGGACGUUCGACCAGCUGGAGGUGCCAAGAAGUUUUCUGCUGCGUACUCGAACGUAAGGACGAAACACAAACUCUUUUAUUUUGUUUCCAUCGUUCUAUCUAUUCUAAUCUGUUGCUAAUCAUGCAACUUAUUUCUAUCUCCUGCAGUGCGCGAAGAAGCCAUCCUGAUAUCGCUUUUGGCUUCCCCUUCCCGUAGUUUAGGAUUUCUCUGCAAUUUUAUUCUGACUCUUUUCUUCCACCAAUCUCUCUGGCUAGCUGCUUCGCUAUAAUCAACCUGUUCUGUGGUCUUGCUUCUUGCCCUCCUCUCUGCUCCUUCUCCGGUGCUGUUUUCUGACUCAAUUGCUCCAAUGGCUGUCCUCUCUGUUGACCCCGCCCCGGUAUCGGCGAUCGGGUUUGAGGGCUAUGAGAAGCGCCUUGAGAUCACCUUCUCCGAGGCUUCUGUCUUUGCUGACCCGCAUGGUCGUGGCUUGCGCGCUCUCUCCAGGGCCCAGAUUGACUCUGUUCUGGAUCUUGCACGGUGCACCAUUGUGUCCGAGCUCUCCAACAA